GUAAGUUGGGCCGGUCCCGGAGCGGCGGCCGAGCAUCGCGCAUGCGCCCGGAGACCCCGUCUCCUACACCCAAGCUCACUCUUCCUGUUCCACCUGGAGAACUGGUCUCCCUUUGGCAGCGGUAAACUUUUGGGAAUGUCCCUCCUCUCCUCCGCACCAGCAAUGGAGAGGGGGCAAGAGGUCACAAUUAUUUUAAGUUCAGUGCUGCUGCUGCUAAGUCGCUUCAGUCGUGUCUGACUCUGUGCGACCCCAUAGACGGCAGCCCACCAGGCUCCCCCGUCCCUGGGAUUCUCCAGGCAAGAACUGGAGUGGGUUGCCAUUUCCUUCUCCAGUGCAUGAAAGGAAGUUGCUCAGUCGUGUCCGACAGCACUGAGCUCCCUCGCUCACAGCACUGUACAGAAACCUACUGAAACUUCUUUGUGAAAGAAAAAAAAAUUAAGGAAAUAAUCUUACAGAACCCAAAGGCACAGAGAGCAACAAGAUCUCACGAAGGACUGGAACAAUGAUUUAACUUACCAGCAUGAAGCCCAACUUGCCUUCACUGCUUCUCUGGGAACAUAGUAGAACGUGGCUGUCCACGUUUACAUAUCCUCGCUUCCAGAACAUGGCUGUCCAAGCUUACGUAUCUUCAUUUCAAGAACUAACAGAGAUUGGGACUUCCCCGGUGGUCCAGAGGCUAAGACUCUGUGUUCCGAAUUCAGGGUCCCUGGGUUCGAUCCCUAGGUCAGGAAACGAGAUCCUGCAUGCUGCAACUAAAUAAUCCGUAUGCCUCAAAGAUCACAGAUCCUAAGUGCUGCAACUAAGACCCAAUGCAGCCAAAUAUUUUUUAAAAAAGAAAUUGGAAAUAGCCAAGAAUUUAGAACUUGCAGAGAUUAAUUAGUAUCUAUAAACCUCACUUCCCAGGAGAAAGAACUUUAUUGAUCUAAAUCAUGACAGAUUGUCUAUUCCUCGUACAGUCUCCUUUAGCCAGUGGAGCGUAAUGUAGUCAGGGCUCUUUACUUUGUAAUGCAAACAUGGCUGCUAGAGGCCCACCCUUGUAGCCUACAGUUCUCAAAGAAGAUCAGUGAUAUUCUUGGCAAAGAUUCCAAAAGGUGUCUACCACAGACCAAAACAGGAAUAAAUGGGCAGCCUGAAAUUGAAAAGCGUAUAGAACAAUGGACAAGUUCAAGAAUUUUCCAACAAAGGAACUGCUAUUUAAACUAUUUCAGGCCUAAAUUUAAAUGGCACUCCCUCAAAUAAGCCUUCACUAAUACCCUGCACCAAUUAAAAUUAUGUUACUCCAUUUUUAUCUUCUGU
ensembl:lncRNA